AUAGACAGAAGUUUAAAUGCCAAGGUAAAAGAAUCGAUAUCAUUCAAAAUAAUUUGAUCAUCACUUCUAAACUUUUACCAGUGAAAAAAAGGGGGGAAAUGCCACGAUGAUCCAUCAAAAUAUUGAGAAGGGAGAGAGGUGAACCGUUCGAUUUUCUCCGGCUCUAUUUUUAGCAGGGGAUGUUUUUCUUAAAUUUUCGGUUACAAAUUUCGAUUUUUCUUUGUACUGGCAAUGACGUAAACGUGUAAAAACUGAUUGAAAAAAACGCUUAACAGAUAAAUUAAUUUCUUUGACAUGACGAAAUUAUUGAUGGUAAAGUUGUCCACCCAACAGUUACAUAGCGUGCUAAUUAAGUGAUAUAAAGCACAGAGCUUACCCUAGGACUUCCAAAAAUUUAUGACAGGAUAAUUUCCUCCAUGUCCAAAUACGGUUGAAGAUAUAGAGUAAACAGCAUUAAGAAUCCUUGGAAUAAAGUAUCUACAAACAUAUAUUUUCUAAUUAGGAAGGGUGGAACUGCUUAGGGAACAUUAAUUACGCUACCGAAGUACCAUUCUGUAAAUAUUUUACGCAUCUAGGGAUUUCUUGGAUUCCUCCUCCUGGAAUAUAUACUCAUUCUGGGAUUUACAGUCUAUAAACUAAUGGCUAAUACAUUUUUUUUUUUUUUUGAGUGGUUAAUUCGAAAUCGACCAUCUGUUGCUCCACUUUGGAACGAAAUUAUUUCGGGACUGGGCGUGAGUGACAAUCGAGAAACUUAAUUUUUAUGGCUGCCAGCGAAGAACACUUUAAAGGAUGCAAAGGAGGAUUGUUAAUACAUGGAAGCGUAUUUAGCAAUGGUCGGCGAUGAAAAGAAAGAGACUCCAUUGAAAAGGACAAAAGGAAUCCCUAAAUGAGACAUCCGGAUUGUUACACUCGCCUCGUCUUUUUAUUCUUUCCAAUUGGCCCGUUUGCCUUUUGUGUGUGGAAGAAUACCUGGCUGAGAGCGACGCAUCUGGGCCUAAAGAGUUUUAAUUUGCAAAAAUCAACUGAAAAACUGUUGCCCUGACCAAGAUCCGCGACGAAUCUUCCUUACGCCGCCGUAUCGAUGUAUGCAGCAUAUCAGUGGGUGCCGUCGGCGUCGCUUCCACUUUUAUCUGUUAGAAUGAGAGGCAGUGGAGAGAAAGGUAAAGGCUACAGACAUUUUUAUAGGGACAUAAGGCGGGAGAAAAAGAAAGGCGGUACGAAGCAGCGUCUUUCUUCACCUGGCCGACUGUAUCCAGUCGGAUCGAUAACGCUGGGUUACUUUGGCCCGCACUGUAUAGAGCAUUUUCGCCCGUUUUCUGUAAUACCCGAUCGCCUUCUCUUCCUCGACUGGCAAAUGGAAAAGGGAAGGAGGCGCUAAUUCCUCUCCGUAGCCGGUUAUCAAUAUUCGUUCCGCCUUUGGUCCCCUAAGGUGAGCCGGUCUCUUCCGGAGGUUUUCCUCUAAUCGACGACUAGAGGUGGCGUUCCGGGCGGCCGACUUUCCCGUCUAAAGCCGGAAUUGAUGUCGGUCCAUUAGCGGUGGUCCUCCCCCCGGCGGGAUGCGGAUUAGCGGACUUGUCGGUCUGAGAAAUUCUAAACAGACACGUCUAUCAAUCAUUGUUCUCCCCUUCGGAUCUGUUCUAACGGUUAAUCCGCUGGCUAAUAGGACGUCUUUCACGGCCCGUUACUGCCUAUCUCCUCUCCCGCUCGUUAUAAUCUCGUACGCCAUGCGAACCGUAUUCCGAGUCCUUCCGUGCCCGUCCGUCUGUGCUUUGGAUGAUGGAGGCGCACCUUUUCCAUUUUAAUCCGUUUACGGACCAGGUCCGACCUUCGUCACAUGCAUUUUUACGUUAUCCCCGCGAGGUAAAACGCGUAUUGUAAUUCGGGCCAAAGCGCCACGCCUGGGAUUAAACUAUUCGGUGACGUUGACGCGUCUCGGGUUACGCGGGACCGGUGUUUUAAUCCCCGCCCCCCAGUUUCCAUUAGACAGCGCGUGUCCCGCGCGGCCUAUCCUGUUACCCGCCUAACAAAUUGCUUUUUGAUGACGAGGCGACAGUUUUUAAAAAUUGUCGGUUUAAAACGUCGACAUCCGAUCGGUCGUCCGCUCUUAUCGCCGUCUCACAUUUCAAUCCGUCUCCUGUCGCGUAUGGCGGGCACGUCUCUACCCCGAUGCUAUUUGACGUAUGUUGUUCCGUCUUGUCUUUAAUAAGAACAUUGCAACCAGCGCGGUUAGUCGGUAAUUAUGGUUUCGAUAACCAAGUUUAGAGAAACCAUAAGUAUCGAAUAAACUAAGCAACUUACGCAAGACAAAUACACUAGUACUAGCGUGACGCAUUGAAUGGAGCACCUGUCAUAAACUAAAAGAAAAAAGGGAAUUUAAGCAUCUGGCAAACAGAUUUAAGCGACGUAAUCAUCAAGCGCAUCAAUCCAAUGAAUAUUCUGUAUGAUCGAAAUGAUUAUUUUUAUAUUGUGGAGAUUAUGAUCGAAAUGGUUCUUCGAACCGUUAAAAACAUUAAGGAGUUGGGAUUUGGCCAACGUUAACGGAUCGACCGACGGACGGGUCUUCGACCCAGUUAAAGACCGGGCGACCGAUUGAAGUGUACAUAUCUGCAGAACCGAUGGAGAUAGUGAGCGUAACGAUAAAUUAAUCUGGGGCUGUCGAGUGAUACCAAGAUCGGGGGCCGCCAUCGCUCUUUUAUCGUCCGUUCACGACAUCGGGAAAAGCUCUUUUUGGCUGUCGGGAAAGUAUAACGGUCGUGUAAACGAUCCGCCAUACUUAGCCGUGAUUGCUAAAGCUAUAAAAAGAGAUCGCCACGAUUCGACGCUUCUGAUAUUUCGAAUUGGAACGGAAGAACAGAUAGUCGGAGGAAAUCGACUAUAUUGUUUACUUCUAUUAUUACUACUGUGUAGAUACUAGCCGAUAAAUUUACACCCCCGUACCGACUGGUGCAUCGUUUAUUUGUAACUGUUCCAGUCUGUAUUUUGCUGCUUCCUGUUCGACUAUUCUCCGUUCAAGCUGACGUGUGGAUUCGGAAACGUCGCCAGUCGAUGGCGUCAUUAAAUUCCAUUUUGGACCUCUGGGGACGGUAGUGGUGUUAGGAAAUUCGGCCGAUCCGAUCGUUAUUUAGAUACAGCCCGGUCUAAUUUCGCUUCUGGUGUCUGUGUAAAGUUUUUUUUUUGUAGCCAGACUACACUAUGAAGUCGAAACAGGUAUACUUCACACUCGAAAGGACGUCUGUCGUCCGCCUACUUACGAACAACCUUUCGUUCAAUAACCACCCAUGAAUGCGGGUUCUUGGAACGCUAUAAACAUUGUAACACAGUCCUACCGAUUAGAGAAUGAAACAAUGAAGCUCUUUGUCGGACAGUUCCGUCUGUUUACGUCUGCCGGCUCCAUUGCCAAAAAGAGCAUUGUCUUCGACUAUUAUUAAGGUUCCCGACUAGCUCCUUAACAUCGAUCACUUUAAGGGUAAAGGAAAUUGAUUGAGUUUUGGCACGGGCGGCGCUGCGUCGGUUUCGCUUCACCGAAAGACCGAUUCGUCACGUGGAAUUUUCCACGUGACGUCGGGCGUGAUCCAGCAACAGUCGAAUCUGGCCGUAUGCCACGUCGCGCUUAUUAGAACGGUGGAUUUGUCCGAUCGGUGUCUGCGCGACGCCCUUUACUAGAAAUGUCCAUCUCUCUCCUCUUCUCCAUUCCGCCUUUCCACCGACAGCUGUCACCUGGAAGACGCGGCAUUCUUAAAUCCGACUGGGGCUCUGUAAAGCGUUAGAGUUUUGGAAGAUAUCGACCGUUCCGUAAGAGGUUUCCCCCAUUGUCAGCGGUUAAAUUUGGAGGAGGCGUAGGGAAAAACAUUUAUUUACUUUCACCGCCGGAAGUCGUUGUUAUAAAACGGGUCCCGGAUCGCGUUCCGUUAUCGUAAACAUUCGAUUAGCGUUAAUUUUAAAGGGGAUUAGGAAGGUUCGAUCUGUAAAGGGAAAAGGUGUAAGGCUGGAGAGAGAGUGCCGGUUACGCUUAACAACUUGUUGAAUUGGCUGGCGCGCGUCUUCCCAUAUCCCCCAUUUCCGAGUGAGUACGACCAUUCUAGUCUGUCGGUCUGAGCAUUCCAUUGAUUUAUUUCUCGGCCCACUGACGAGUUUUGAUACACAGUUCGGUGCAGGUGCUGUAGAGGGACUUCUAGACGUGCCAACUCGCAUUUCUAAGUGAGUUUUGACCUCUAUUUUUAGCCAAGUCUGCUAUUAUUACCGUCUUAAGUGGGUCGCGGUUUUACUGUUGUACCACCGCACGUUCGCCCCCUCCCCCUUUAUAAAAGAAAAACGCCGGAGUAAUAUUUUUAUUAACGCGGUAAUCGAAAGAAGUCCGUUCCGUUUCCACGUCCGCGAUCCCUGGCACACGAGGGUUGUUUCCCCUUCCGAGAGGCGUCGAUAAGAUAGCAUUCCGUUUAACUCGCCAUAAAAGUAUGGCAAUUAGUGGUGUCGACGCGGGAUUUCGAAAACUGUUCGAUGUUUUUAUACUCCAUAUAAGUGUUAACUACGAUAAAAGAGUUUAUUACGUAUAAACGUAUUGUUUCUUUACAUUAAACACUAUUCAGAUAUGAUCGAGUGUAAAUAAUUGCAUUUUUAAUGAUCGGACAGAAAUGUUCUCUAUACGUUCGCCAGAAUAAAUUUCUCUUAUAUUACUAAAUUGUCAAAAUUAUUUUGUAUUAAAACUUAACGCUCUGCUAGAUCCUGUUGUAUUGAUGGCAUAUGUAUACAUUAAACGGAAAUUAUAGACAUUAAACAAUAAAAAAAAAAAACGGGCUAAAGAAUGCAUAUCAAAGUCUACUCUUCAGUAAUCAAACAAUAUAUUAACCCUUGUUAUUGUAACAUCAAAAUAUUUGAUGUACGGUCUUCCUGUUUAGACAGGAAGUAUACAGAUGUGUGAAAAUAUUACUCUUUUAAGAUAUAAAAAGUAGCGAUAAUUACGAUAUUAAGCAUCAGUUUCGAGUUUAAUAUUUUCGGUGAUGAUGAUUACUGGAAAGUUCCGACACCAAGAGAAGUUAAACUAUAUUAUCAGAAAUUUUACAGCUACUAAUCGGCUUCAUUAGGCGCUACUACGGUAUUAACCGGGGGAAAAGGACGGUUGAAUUUAUUAAAAUCAAUAAUGUUUGCGAUGGAAUGUUUUCUUUUGCGCAUUUAACGAUCUUAACUCUGGUCGUAAUUCAAUUUAGAGCUCGGGGAUUCACCAUCUGAUCUCCUAAUUGUUAUUAAACUACUCAGGUGUUCUCCCUGACAGCUCAUCCGUCUUUAUUAAAGGCGGAAGCUAUAUGGAACAUUUUCGGAUGAAAUAAAAAAAUAUAUAUUUAUAUGUUUGUGUUAUUUUUUUAAUGGAAAUAUUAAUUACUUUCUUCUUCGACAGCUUUUAAUUGAAGGAUUCCUGAAUGACAGCGGGACUGAGUGACCUUGAUGUCUCUUGGACC
rnacentral:lncRNA from 1 species